GCUGACACAUAAUUAACCCAAACAUACAACAACACAAUAAAACAAAACAUUUGACCCACCAAGUAGAUGAGAUCGAACAGUCAACAAAAUAAUGAAAGUACCGCAAGGGAACCACUUAAGCAAAAAACAGCAAAGAUUAACCCUUGUACCUUUCGUAUCAUGGUCCAGCAAGAAACACAAGACAAGAAGAAUCAUAGCCUCCACCCCGAAACCAGAUGAGCUACUUUAAAGCAGCCUAAUGGGCACACCCUUCUCUGUAGCAAAAGAGUGGGAAGACUUAAAAGUAGAAGUGAAACGCUUACCGAAUCUGGAGAUAGCUGGCUACCCAAAAAAGAAUCUAAGUUCAACCUUAAACCAAAACAAUAACUAUUUAUUAUAUAAGGACAAUCAAUAGGGGUACAGCCCUAUUGACACAGGAUACAACCUGAAUUUGAGAGAAAACAACCUCUAUAAACCCAGUAGGCCUUAAAGCAGCCAACUAACAAAAUAUCGUUAAAGAAUUUAACCAAAAAUUCAAACAUUAACUAAAAACUCCAAACUAACUAAAGGUAGACCCAUACCAUAUGGGUGUUAUUAUGCUAGAACUAAUAAUAAGACAACCUCUCUAUAUGCACCUAUCUGCUAGACCCGGAUAAACCACUAGCCAUUAACAGACCAUAAUAGGCAUAAACUAACCACUUACACACCUCAAAAUAAACUGUGACCCCGACACAGGCGCAUUAUAAAGAAAGAUCAACCAUUAUAAAAGGAACUCGGCAAACAAAGACCCCAACUGUUUAACAAAAACAUAACCUUUAGCCUAACAAAUAUUAAAGGCAACGCCUGCCCAGUGAACAAUUAAACGGCCGCGGUACCCUAACCGUGCAAAGGUAGCGUAAUCAUUUGUCUACUAAUUAUAGACCUGUAUGAAAGGCAAAAUGAGGGUCCAACUGUCUCUUAUAAUAAAUCAAUUAAACUGAUCUCCUAGUAAAAAAGCUAGAAUGACAACAUAAGACGAGAAGACCCUGUGAAGCUUAAACUAAACUAUUAAAACGCAUAAUAGCUACUUUCGGUUGGGGCGACCUUGGAAAAAAAAAGAACUUCCAAACACCAUGACUUUACCUCAUACCACAAAACCAGGCCAACAAGCCAACAAAUGACCCAGCACUGCUGAUAAUUGAACCAAGUUACUCCAGGGAUAACAGCGCAAUCUUCUUCAAGAGCCCAUAUCAAAAAGAAGGUUUACGACCUCGAUGUUGGAUCAGGACAUCCUAAUGGUGCAGCCGCUAUUAAGGGUUCGUUUGUUCAACGAUUAAUAGUCCUACGUGAUCUGAGUUCAGACCGGAGCAAUCCAGGUCGGUUUCUAUCUAUGAAUAUGCUCCAUCCAGUACGAAAGGACAGAUAAAGCAAAGCCACUACUACCAGCACGCUUUAACAAAACAUAAACCACAACCUAAAACCACCUUUUUGAAACCCAAACCUAGACAAGGUUAAUUAAGACAACACCUUA
rnacentral:rRNA from 1 species